rnacentral:rRNA from 1 species
AGUGAACGCUGGCGGUAGGCCUAACACAUGCAAGUUGAACGGCAGCACAGUAAGAGCUUGCUCUUACGGGUGGCGAGUGGCGGACGGGUGAGGAAUACAUCGGAAUCUACUUUUUCGUGGGGGGUAACGUAGGGAAACUUACGCUAAUACCGCAUACGACCUACGGGUGAAAGCAGGGGAUCUUCGGACCUUGCGCGAUUGAAUGAGCCGAUGUCGGAUUAGCUAGUUGGCGGGGUAAAGGCCCACCAAGGCGACGAUCCGUAGCUGGUCUGAGAGGAUGAUCAGCCACACUGGAACUGAGACACGGUCCAGACUCCUACGGGAGGCAGCAGUGGGGAAUAUUGGACAAUGGGCGCAAGCCUGAUCCAGCCAUACCGCGUGGGUGAAGAAGGCCUUCGGGUUGUAAAGCCCUUUUGUUGGGAAAGAAAAGCAGCAGGUUAAUACCCCGCUGUUCUGACGGUACCCAAAGAAUAAGCACCGGCUAACUUCGUG